UUUUUUUUUUUAUGAAACACGAAAGAAAAGCACGAAAAGCAAGAAAUUUCCUUCUUUUCAUCUUCGUUUUCCAAUCUUUUUCUUUGGAAUUCUUUAUAUAAAUUGAUUUGACGAACGUGUUUCUUGAUUACUGCGAUUGUAUUCUCUUUAGCUAAUUUCUCAAUUGUUCAAGAUUGUACACUGGUGAUCGAUUAAAAUUUAUAUGGCUUUGCAAUUGCAAACCCUAGAUGGAGAAUUUUGAUUCUUUUAUUUGAAAGUUUUCGAAAUGGAAUAUUUGAACAUCUGAAUGAUGGAUUCUUUAUUCGAUUAUUAUGAAUGGUGACCCUGACCCUAAUAUUUGAUCAUCGAGUUGAAAACUCAAAAUGCAUUUGCAUUGUGGCUAUUAAAUUGAAACUGGGUUGAUUUACGUACGCACUCCUUGAGGCUUUAAUACAAUGACAUUAUGAAUUCUUUAUUCAUGGUGAAAAUUUUGGAUAUUGGUGACUCUAAUUGCAUUUGCAGUACCAUGAAUUUUGGAUAUUAGUGACAUGGCUAAAUAGUCUUUCUUUCUUUCUUCUACAAACAUAAUUUCUCCUACCUUAAGCCCAAAGGGAGUAGCUUUGAUGAGAUCACGAGAUUGUACCCUGAUCAUACCAAAAGAAUGGAAGGCAGACAACUAAUAGUCAUUGGACUAUGAUUUUGAGUUAAUUAUAGAUAAAGACCAAGGAAAGUGAUCGAGUUGAAAGCUCAAAAAGAAAUCAACAAUCAAAGUCAACUAUAGUCAAUUAUGCUAGAAGUCUUAUAUAUGUAAGGUACAUGAUGCAAUAUAAUAUUCUUAUAUUUUAAAUGCACACGAGAACCUUUUAUUUUAGCAUAUACAUCAAAAAAAAUUUCAAAGUGUGAAAAUACAUGAGCAAUGUUUGAAAAUAAAGUUUUUGACAAAAAUCAAUGUUGUAUUUGACGACAACAUGUUGUUGCCGAAUACAGACUCAAGUCAGUAACUAAAACUGGACUUUUGUAUUCGACUACGAGAUGGUGUAGCCAAAUACAAGUGAUAAGUCAGUAGCUGAACUUUUGUAUUUGACUACGAGAUAGUCUAGUCGAAUACAAGUGUUAAGUCAGUAGCUAAGAUUGCAUAUUUGUAUCCGACUACAACAUGGUGUAGCUGAAUACAAAACAAAGUCAGUGACAAAAUUCACUCAUCUGUAUUCGACUACAAGAAAGUGUAUUCGAAUACAAGCUGUAAAAUUUGAAUAAAACUGAACGUUACAAGAGUUGUAUUCAACUACACUCCUGAUGUAGUCGAAAACAAUUGCGAAACAAUACAAUUUUUUAGUUCAGAUUCAACUUGGAUCAUUUCAUAUAUUCAUCAAACCUCUAGGAACGAUUGCCACUGAUGUGAAGUGAUGUCUAAGGAGUAUAAAUACUUCAUAGCUUUAGACUUAACGAAUUACUCUUCUCCAAAUCUUUUCAUCAAUCUAAGAACAACUUUGAACAAAU